AAAUAUCUGAGUAAAAGUAUUAAACUCAUCGAAAAUAUGUACUGAAGUAAAAGUGGAAGUAGGAGAAAAAAAUAAUACUCUAGUAAAGUACAGAUACCGCCUUUUAGUACUUAAGUACAGUAGUGAAGUAGUUCUACUUCGUUACUAUACAUCUCUGGAUAUAAAAGGAAUGGAAGUAUUGUGAUUUCAUUCUGUUCCUGACACACGAUGGAUCUGAGAGUCUCUGUCGUUCUUCUUUUCAUUUUUCUCACUGGAGGAAAUUCUCUCAGGUGUUACUCGUGCUUACCUAAUUCGACGGGUUCCUGUAAAGCAAAAGUGGAGACAUGUCCAGUUGGAUAUUCUAAAUGUGCGAG